CAAGAAGAGAUUAUACAAUCAGAAUGUCAUAGAAUGUCAACUACUCUGUCUCACACUAAAACCCCAGGUGUGAGACAGAGUAGUUGAUACAUAAGAUUUCUGACAACCAAUCUUAUGGAAUAUUUUGGAGAAGCACUUUGAACCUCCACUUGAGCCCCUACUGGUGGCUCAUUUGGCCUUGAGCCUUUUCAAAUGCAGUGCAUUUCCCAGCUCAGCCCCAGAAGGCAACAAAAAACUUUCUAGGACCCAGUUUGAGAUGCUCUCCCAAAGCACUCUGCCUCAUUUUCCUGAGUCAGUACUUACCAGUAGGCUUUUGUCAUCCUCAGUAUUUCCGUCCCCAGUCUGAAUAGUUGGGGUACUGCUGCAGCUCUCUGCUGGUGGCCUCAGAAGAUAGACAAGCUUUUCCCAGUAGCAGAAGAGGUCUUCUCGUACAUCUGAAGAGGGACAAAGCUGCAGAUAAAAAGUCCGGCCUGUGGCAAGCUUCAAACGUAGUUGCUGUUUCUCACGAUCGUGGAUGGAGAUCUUGACAAACUUCAAGGGAAGUAGCCUGGUGAGCUCUAGAGUCUUCGCAGACUUCCGUCCUCUCCCUUUAAUGGUCCGGCCACGUCUGGCAUGCUCUUCACAGACUUUAGCAGGUCUGGCCAGCAGCAUGACAUCAGGUAGUGGAAGGAUGGGGCUGGUGGAGGCGAUGCCCACUGUCACCAUUCGAACACGGUUGUGAACAUCAAUCACCUCUCCUUUUUUGCUAAUCUGGAUAAAAUCACUCUCAAACAUGGGUGCAUACUUGAAAAUGUCAUACUCUCCUCCCUUGUACAGUUGUCGUUGCAGGUCCCCCAUGGAGGUAUUGAACACACCCAUUGAACGGUAGCUGUGGGCUGUGUAGUAAGGUAACACACAUUCGCUACUCCUGGGUCUCUUUAUUCCAGACAUCUUUGCCAGCCACAAUUUGAGUCCCUAAGAGAGAAGAGGGAAUGAUGGCAACUGCCCAUCUCCCUGCAAGGCUUCUGCCUCUGUCUCUUCAAACCACCUUAUUUAUCCUGUCCUGUCCUUUGUGACCUGUCACCAUCACACACCCCUUUGUCCUCACCCCUGAGCAGCUACCCUCUCAAGGCUGGGUCAAUAGCCCGUCUGCAAAUAUACCACCACCUCCACAAGGGCAGGCUGAUCCUGCUAGGGAGGAAAGAAAAUCCAGUUCCACUAUUGAAAAGGCUGGCAGCCAUUUUGCUGUCAUGAAGUAAAACCUGCAGAAGCUUGAAGCUGGCCCAGAACUGAGGAGGUGGAAGGAGAAUGGAAGCUUGUAUCCACCAGAAGCCAAGCGACACAGACUUUAAAGAAUGACUCUGUGAGUCUCGUAUGAGUCUCAAAAAGUCUUGGAAAUAUAGGGACAGUGUCUAAAUCCCAUUUGGAGAAACAGGAUGCUGAUGAAGGCAUUGUGGAAAAGCUGCUUAUUUGGAGUCAGUGGAAGAAGGGGCUGUACUUGGAACAAGUGGUAUAUCCAUCAACAGCAGGGCAUGAAUGCCCUAAUCUUCUAGUAGUCAUGGGAGGGAAAAGUGGCACGUGGCUCUUUUUCAAGGAAAUUUCACCCAAGGCAACCUAGUGGGCAAAGGAAUCUAAAACAGAGUCAGAGGGCAGGUAGAGGUAGACCUGCAGAAGCCCAAUGACUGGAGGUUGGAUUCGUUGACCAGAUAGAGUGGUAUCUCUUCUACUGGGAACAGCUAUCAGAGCCCUCAAUGGAAAACUGCAAACAGAACACAUGACAGACAUUUCCCAUAAAAUAAAAAGCAAAUUUAUAUCCAUCA